rnacentral:rRNA from 1 species
GACGAACGCUGGCGGCGUGCCUAAUACAUGCAAGUAGAACGCACAGUUUAUACCGUAGCUUGCUACACCAUAGACUGUGAGUUGCGAACGGGUGAGUAACGCGUAGGUAACCUGCCUGGUAGCGGGGGAUAACUAUUGGAAACGAUAGCUAAUACCGCAUAAUAUUAAUUAUUGCAUGAUAAUUAAUUGAAAGGUGCAAUUGCACCACUACCAGAUGGACCUGCGUUGUAUUAGCUAGUAGGUGAGGUAACGGCUCACCUAGGCGACGAUACAUAGCCGACCUGGGAGGGUGAUCGGCCACACUGGGACUGAGACACGGCCCAGACUCCUACGAGAGGCAGCAGUAGGGAAUCUUCGGCAAUGGACGAAAGUCUGACCGAGCAACGCCGCGUGAGUGAAGAAGGUUUUCGGAUCGUAAAGCUCGGUUGUAAGAGAAGAACGGGUGUGAGAGUGGAAAGUGCACACUGUGACGGUAUCUGACCAGAAAGGGACGGCUAACUACGUG